AGAUUUAUUGCUUAAUUGAAGCAGAGUUAGUUGUUAUGGCAAUUUUUCUUCCCAAAGAAAGAUAGAAUAAUUCACACCAUUGUAAUUUCUAUCCUUGUCUCAGUUUGAAGCAUUUAUUAAACUCCCCCCACUCAUGCAAUAUAUUGUGAACUGCAAAGCUGUAAAUUUCAUGGGGAUCAACUAAAUGAAACAUUUCAAUUUAUAGUUAAGGAAACUAUAACCCAAACUCUGCUUUUACAAAGUGGGACAAAAUGUAAGAAAAAAAAUACAAUGAAUAUACUUAUUUUCUUCCCUUAUUUACAAAGAACUGAGUACAUUUAGUGAGAUAAUAAAUUAAAGAGGAGCAAAGGAAAGUGAUAGACUGAUAAAAUGACCAAUAAGUCAGAAAGUAGCAUGUGGCAAAGUGAAUGGAUAGAAAUCAGGGAACGAAAACUUGAAAACCAGGGAGAAAUACAAAAAGAUAAAAAGGAUUUAAUACCUUUAUCCAUUUUAGAUGAUCUUUCUCUUGUUUUUGUGAAUUUCCAUACCAAAAACCCAGAACGCAAAGGAAUAUGCUGUCUCUCUCCCCUUUCACACACACGAUAGAACUCAUACCUUUAACUCCUACUAUGUGCGUUAUUUUCCUGAAUUUCAACUUAUUUCUAUAGCAGCAAGGUCACAGUAUACUUUUUCUGAAUAAAAAAACCAUAGCUUUUCUUUCUGGUGAAUUACUGAGUAGUACUAGCUUUUUAAACUGAAUUUUAAAUAACAAAACAGUUUAUUCUUUUCUUCUGCUCAUUUUUCUUGCUUAUAUGGGAAUAAUGAGUCAGCCAUAAAGUGGAUAUUAUAUAAUGAAAUUAGCAAAGCUUCCUUUUCAAGUUUCUUGUCACAGUUUCUAGUUCAGUAAUGAUGGUUAAAAGUGACAAUGGUUUGUUUGUACUCUAUCCUGACACCAAGGUUUCUAUCACAAAUGUUUGUUUUAUAAGAAUAAAAAAGGCAUUAUGUACUCAAGGACAAUGAGUCCUCUAACAAAUCUAAAGCAUCUACCUUCAUGCUCUGUUCAUGAUGGGAGUUCCACAGUUAUAGAAGCUCCCUAGGCAGCUCUCUGAUGUCUGCAACACUGCAAAAUAUCUUACAUUUAUACUCUUCUUUAUAAUGCCUUAAUAAUGUCAUCUUGGGAGGCAAAAAGAGAGCAUUCCCAUUUUACAGAUAGAAUUAUGGAUAACAAAGCUUAAGAGCCUUGCUUAUGGAAGCAGAAUAGGGCUUUUCUAAGAGUUUGACCCUAUAGUUUAUUGCCCAAACUUGGAUACUGUUGAUAAUGAAAGGAUUACUAUUAAUUACUGAGACAAUAGUUUUGAGCUUGGACUGUCCUGAGGGAAACUGAGACCUAUUGUAACUUUUACUAGGAUCCAACACUGAUUCUCACGUAUGUCCAUUUCUCAGUGUUUCUCAGACUUCCCCUCUGUUCUAAGUAUGUGCAAAUAAAUAUAAUAGUUACAUUAUGAGAGGAUAUGGCAGAGUUUGAACUUCAUUUAAUAACUUGGGCUCUGGGUGUACCUCGAGCAUCUUAACUUUUCUCUGCUUCAGUUUCUUCCUCAGUGAAAUGGGGAUGAUAAUAAUAAUACUCACAUUUUAGGGACAUUGUAUGGAUUGAAUGAGUAAAAUUCUUGGAAUAGUAUCUAGUACUUAGUAAGUACCAUGUUGUUGUUCAGUUGCUAAAUUGUUUCUGACUCUGUGACCCGAUGGACUGUACCAGGCUCCCCUGUUCUCUACUAUCUCCUAGUGAAGUGAAGUGAAGUUGCUCAGUC
rnacentral:lncRNA from 1 species